CAGCCAGACUCCUACGGGAGGCAGCAGUGGGGAAUAUUGCACAAUGGGGGAAACCCUGAUGCAGCGACGCCGCGUGAGCGAUGAAGUAUUUCGGUAUGUAAAGCUCUAUCAGCAGGGAAGAAAAUGACGGUACCUGAUUAAGAAGCCCCGGCUAACUACGCGCCAGCAGCCGCGGUAAUACGUAGGGGGCAAGCGUUAUCCGGAUUUACUGGGUGUAAAGGGAGCGUAGACGGCAAUGCAAGCCAGAUGUGAAAGCCCGGGGCCCAGCCCCGGUACUGCUCUUGGAACUGCGUGGCUGGAGUGCAGGAGGGGCAGGCGGAAUUCCUGGUGUAGCGGUGAAAUGCGUAGAUAUCAGGAGGAAC
rnacentral:rRNA from 1 species